rnacentral:rRNA from 1 species
AAAUUGAAGAGUUUGAUCAUGGCUCAGAUUGAACGCUGGCGGCAGGCCUAACACAUGCAAGUCGAACGGUAACAGGAAGCAGCUUGCUGCUUCGCUGACGAGUGGCGGACGGGUGAGUAAUGUCUGGGAAACUGCCUGAUGGAGGGGGAUAACUACUGGAAACGGUGGCUAAUACCGCAUAACGUCGCAAGACCAAAGAGGGGGACCUUCGGGCCUCUUGCCAUCAGAUGUGCCCAGAUGGGAUUAGCUUGUUGGUGAGGUAACGGCUCACCAAGGCGACGAUCCCUAGCUGGUCUGAGAGGAUGACCAGCCACACUGGAACUGAGACACGGUCCAGACUCCUACGGGAGGCAGCAGUGGGGAAUAUUGCACAAUGGGCGCAAGCCUGAUGCAGCCAUGCCGCGUGUAUGAAGAAGGCCUUCGGGUUGUAAAGUACUUUCAGCGGGGAGGAAGGUGUUGCGGUUAAU